rnacentral:lncRNA from 1 species
GAUUUUCUCCUAUGUUAUCUUUUGGAGUUUUGUAGUUUUGCAUUUUGCAUUUAGGUCUAUGAUUGAUUUUGAGUUAAUUUUUCCAAAAGGUGCAAAGUUUGUGUCUACAUUCAUUUUUUUGCUUGUGAAUAUCCAGUUGCUCCAGCACCAUUUGUUGAAAAGACUAUACUUUCUCCACUCAGUUACUUUUGUUCCUUUGUCAAAGAUCACUUGACUAACUUUGUGUGGGCCUAUUUUUGGGCUCCGUUCUGUUCCGUUGAUCCUUUUGUCUAUUCUUUCACCAGUAUCACACUGUCUUGAUUAUUAUAGCUUUGUAUUAAGUAUUGAAGUCAUGUAGUAUCAGUCUUCCAGCUUUGUUCUUCUUUAGAAGCUGUUUUUAAUUGAGUUGUUUGUCUUUAUUGUUGAAUUGCAAGAUUUCUUUAUAUAUUCUGGAUACUAGACCCUUAGCCAGAUGUAUGAUAUACAGUUAUUUUCUCUAAUUUUUGUUGUCUUUUCUCUUUCUAGAUGAUGUUCUCUGAAGCACAUAAGUUUUUAAUUUUGAUGAAGUCCAGUGUAUCUGUUUUUUUCUUUGGUUGUUUCUGUUUUUGAUAGGAUAUCAAAACUAAGCCAAGGUCAUAAAUAUUUACUCCUAUGUAACUUCUAAAAAUUCUAUACAUUUAAUGUUCACCAGGAUGAGAAUGGUGAUGUGGCUUUUGUCUCACUAGGAUGAGAAUGGUGCCUUGGUCUCAUGGAAAAGCCUGGGGAAAGGCUGUUGCUGUGAAUGUGGUGGAUUCUCUACUUGUGCCUGUGCAGGACAAGGACAUGGAGCCACUUGGCCAACUAUGAGGCCGGAACACAUGAUGUCAAUGAAGAAGAAGCCCCACUCACUGACCUCUUGAACAAUGCGAUCUGAUGAGCUUCCUGUUGGUGAAUGUAUCCACAUGCCUGGAUGGUGGUGCACCAUGGGGACAGAAGCUUCUAUGAUUGGAAUACUUCUGGACCACACCCUAUGAACCUCUUCAUCUGGCUGUUCAUCUGUAUCCUUUAUAAUAUCUUCAAUAAUAAACUGAUAAAUAUGACUAAAUGUUUCCCUGAGUUCUGUGAGCCAAUCUAGCAAAUAAAUCAAAACUGAGGAGGGGUUCAUGGGAACCUCUACUUUGUAGCCCGUCAGAAACACAGGUAACAAGCUGGAUUUGUGACUGGUGCCUGAAGGGAGGGAGUCUUGUGGGACCAAGCUCUUCACUUGUAGGGUCUGAUGCUUUCUCCAAGUAGAUAAUGUCAGAAUUGGGUUAAAUUAUAGGGCACCCAGCUGGUGUCGCAGAAUUGGUUGAUGUGGGAGAAACUACCACAUAUUUGGAGUACAGAAGCAUUCAGAGUAUUGUGUGUAGUGUAAAGGAAAG